rnacentral:tRNA from 1 species
GGGGUUGUGGCUCAGUGGUAGAGCGCUUGCCUAGCAUGUGCAAGACACCAGAUUCAAUCCUU